rnacentral:rRNA from 1 species
UACGUAGGUGGCAAGCGUUGUCCGGAUUUACUGGGCGUAAAGGGAGCGUAGGUGGAUAUUUAAGUGGGAUGUGAAAUACUCGGGCUUAACCUGGAUGCUGCAUUCCAAACUGGAUAUCUAGAGUGCAGGAGAGGAAAGUAGAAUUCCUAGUGUAGCGGUGAAAUGCGUAGAGAUUAGGAAGAAUACCAGUGGCGAAGGCGACUUUCUGGACUGUAACUGACACUGAGGCUCGAAAGCGUGGGGAGCAAACAGG